rnacentral:rRNA from 1 species
CUUGCUUUCUUUGCUGGCGACCGGCGCACGGGUGGGUAACACGUAUCCAACCUGCCCUUUACUCGGGGAUAGCCUUUCGAAAGAAAGAUUAAUACCCGAUAGUAUAAUGAUUCCGCAUGGUUUCAUUAUUAAAGGAUUCCGGUAAAGGAUGGGGAUGCGUUCCAUUAGGUUGUUGGUGAGGUAACGGCUCACCAAGCCUUCGAUGGAUAGGGGUUCUGAGAGGAAGGUCCCCCACAUUGGAACUGAGACACGGUCCAA